rnacentral:rRNA from 1 species
AGCGAACGCUGGCGGCAGGCCUAACACAUGCAAGUCGAACGAACCUUUCGGGGUUAGUGGCGGACGGGUGAGUAACACGUGGGAACGUGCCUUUAGGUUCGGAAUAACUCAGGGAAACUUGUGCUAAUACCGAAUGUGCCCUUCGGGGGAAAGAUUUAUCGCCUUUAGAGCGGCCCGCGUCUGAUUAGCUAGUUGGUUGAGGUAAUGGCUCACCAAGGCGACGAUCAGUAGCUGGUCUGAGAGGAUGAUCAGCCACAUUGGGACUGAGACACGGCCCAAACUGCUACGGGGAGGAGCAGUGGGGAAUCUUGCGCAAGGGGCGAAAGCCUGACGAAGCCAUGCCGCGUGAAUGAUGAAGGUCGUAGGAUUGUAAAAUUCUUUCACCGGGGACGAUAAUGACGGUACCCGGAGAAGAAGCCCCGGCUAACUUCGUG